rnacentral:tRNA from 1 species
GGGGAUGUAGCUCAGCUGGGAGAGCACCUGGUUUGCAACCAGGACGUCGCAGGUUCGAUCCCUGUCAUCUCCACCA